ensembl:lncRNA
GGGCAAAAAAACCCGGACUUUUUUGGCUCCGUCAGAAACUAAGUAAAAGUCGGAAUAUGUGAAGGAAAGCUCAGAAAAUGCCUGGAGAAAUUUGAGCGGACCGGAAAAAAAAAGUUCCAGCCGACAUCACUGGGCCACCAGGUCGCAGAUUCCUGAAACCCGGUUUUUAGAAACAUAGGCCUCCAGGAGUGAGGACCGGCGUUUGUGCGGUUCGGAUCCGACUCAGACCUCAGUAUUUUCGGACACCCUCGGACAGUGGCGGGGGUGGAAGAACCGGAGCCUCAUGCAGAACUGGCUGUCGGGGAGCAAGCGGACGCUACCCCGGCAGGAGGCAUCAUUCCGGGCACUGUGGCUGAUCGGUAGCUUUCGUGGAUGGAUGACUGAGCGAACGAACGAGAUGACGGCGGUGCGUCCUGGCUGAUGUCCCAGUACGGGGCACUAUUCUCGGAUGCUGAUGGCAGAACAGCAGGUGCAGUGGACGGAUGAACACACAGUUCCAGACAGCGUGAUAUCCCAGACCAUGUCCCAGAACGGCACACUAUUCUCGGAUGCUGAUGUCAGAACAGCAGGUGCAGCGGACGGACUAAUACACAGUUCCAGAGAGCGGUAUUUCACGACAGAUAUCCGAUGAUGAAGCGCCAUUGUCGGACACUGAUGGCAGAACAGCAGGUGCACUGGAUGAAGGAAAUAAACAGAACAUAGUUCCAGAGAGCGUGAUAUCCCAGACCAAGUCCCAGAACGGCGCGCUAUUGUCGGACACUGAUGGCAGAACAGCAGGUGCACUGGAUGAAGGAAAUAAACAGAACAUAGUUCCAGAGAGCGUGAUAUCCCAGACCAAGUCCCAGAACGGCCCACUAUUCCCGGACACUCAUCUACUUAAAAUCUCCCUGAUUACCUGCCAGAACAGAGCAGAUCCAGAGAGCGGUAUUUCACGGCAGCUAUCCGAUGAUGAAGCGCUAUUGUCGGACACUGAUGGCAGAACAGCAGGUGCACUGGAUGAAGGAAAUGAACAGAACAUAGUUCCAGAGAGCGGGAUAUGCGAGACCAUGUCCCAGUACGGGACACUAUUCUCGGAUGCUGAUGUCAGAACAGCAGGUGCAGUGGAUGAAGGAAAUAAACAGAACAUAGUUCCAGAGAGCGGGAUAUCCCAGACCAUGUCCCAGUACGGGACACUAUUCUCGGAUGCUGAUGUCAGAACAGCAGGUGCAGUGGAUGAAGGAAAUAAACAGAACACAGUUCCAUGGAGCGGGAGAUCCCAGACCAUGUCCCAGUACGGGACACUAUUCUCGGAUGCUGAUGUCAGAACAGCAGGUGCAGUGGAUGAAGGAAAUAAUCAGAACAUAGUUCCAGAGAGCGGGAUAUCCCAGACCAUGUCCCAGUACGGGACACUAUUCUCGGAUGCUGAUGUCAGAACAGCAGGUGCAGUGGAUGGAUGAAUUAAACAGUUCCAGAGAGCGUGAGAUCCCGGCUGAUAUCCGAUGAAGAAGCGCUAUUGUCGGACACUGAUGGCAGAGCAGCAGGUGCAGCGGAUGGAUGAAAUAAACAGUUCCAUGGAGCGGUAUUUCCCGACAGAUAUCCGACGACGAAGGACCAUUUGGGACGCUUUGAAGGAAGGGUCGGUCUCCUGGAUGAAAAAGACUUUAAUUUUCUGACUUAAAAAAAAAGUUAAAGUUUCCAGUCGGGACGAUAAGGAGGGCAAAAAAACCCGGACUUUUUUGGCUCCGUCAGAAACUAAGUAAAAGUCGGAAUAUGUGGCGCAAAGCCCUAAAAUCCCCUGGAGAAAUUUGGACGGCCCCGAAAAAAAAAGUUCCAGCUGACAUCACUGGGCCACCAGGUCGCAGAUUUCAGAAACCUGGUUUUCGGAAACACAGGGCUCCAGGGCUGAGACCCGGGCUUCGUGGGGAGCGUUCCCCAGCUGGGCCUAAGCAUCUUCGGACAACUUUGGGCGGAAAAGCGGGUUCGGGAACCGGGAUAUGGGGCGGGUUACGCGGCGUGACCUGCCCGAGUGCAGUGCACUAUUCCCGGACACUCAUCUACUUAAAAUCUCCCUGAUUACCUGCCAGAACAGAGCAGAUCCAGAGAGCGGUAUUUCACGGCAGAUAUCCGAUGAUGAAGCGCUGUUGUCGGACACUGAUGGCAGAACAGCAGGUGCGGUGGAUGAAAUAAACAGUUCCAGAGAGCGGAAUUUCACGGCAGUUAUCCGAUGAUGAAGCGCUGUUGUCGGACACUGAUGGCAGAACAGCAGGUGCGGUGGAUGAAAUAAACAGUUCCAGAGAGCGUGAGAUCCCGGCUGAUAUCCGAUGAAGAAGCGCUAUUGUCGGACACUGAUGGCAGAACAGCAGGUGCAGUGGAUGGAUGAAUUAAACAGUUCCAGAGAGCGGUAUCUCACGGCAGUUAUCCGAUGACGAAGCUUUAUUGUCGGACACUGAUGGCAGAACAGCAGGUGCAGUGGAUGGAUGAAGUAAACAGUUCCAUAGAGCAGGAGAUCCCAGACCAUGUCCCAGAACGACACACUAUUCUCGGAUGCUGAUGUCAGAACAGCAGGUGUAACGCAUGGAUGAAUACAGAGUUCCAGAGAGCGGCAGAACCCAGACCAUGUCCCAGUACGGGACACUAUUCUCGGAUGCUGAUGUCAGAACAGCAGGUGCAGUGGAUGGAUGAAAUAAACAGUUCCAUGGAGCGGUAUUUCCCGACAGAUAUCCGACGACGAAGGACCAUUUGGGACGCUUUGCAGGAAGGGUCGGUCUCCUGGAUGAAAAGGACUUUAAUUUUCUGACUUAAAAUCCGGAGUUAAAGUUUCCAGUCGGGACGAUAAGGAGGGCAAAAAAACCCGGACUUUUUUGGCUCCGUCAGAAACUAAGUAAAAGUCGGACUAUGUGAAGGAAAGCUCAGAAAAUGCCUGGAGAAUUUUGAUCGGACCGGAA